CCUACGGGAGGCAGCAGUAGGGAAUCUUCCGCAAUGGACGAAAGUCUGACGGAGCAACGCCGCGUGAGUGAUGAAGGCUUUCGGGUCGUAAAACUCUGUUUGUUAGGGAAGAACAAGUACAGAGAGUAACUGCUUGUACCUUGACGGUACCUAACCAGAAAGCCACGGCUAACUACGUGCCAGCAGCCGCGGUAAUACGUAGGUGGCAAGCGUUAUCCGGAAUUAUUGGGCGUAAAGCGCGCGCAGGCGGUUUCUUAAGUCUGAUGUGAAAGCCCACGGCUCAACCCGUGGAGGGUCAUUGGAAACUGGGGAACUUGAGUGCAGAAGAGAAAAGCGGAAUUCCACGUGUAGCGGUGAAAUGCGUAGAGAUGUGGAGGAACACCAGUGGCGAAGGCGGCUUUUUUGGUCUGUAACUGACGCUGAGGCGCGAAAGCGUGGGGAGCAAACAGGAUUAGAUACCCUGGUAGUCCACGCCGUAAACGAUGAGUGCUAAGUGUUAGAGGGUUUCCGCCCUUUAGUGCUGCAGCUAACGCAUUAAGCACUCCGCCUGGGGAGUACGGUCGCAAGACUGAAACUCAAAGGAAUUGACGGGGGCCCGCACAAGCGGGUGGAGCAUGUGGUUUAAUUCGAAGCAACGCGAAGAACCUUAC
rnacentral:rRNA from 1 species